CUACGGGAGGCAGCAGUGGGGAAUAUUGGACAAUGGGCGAAAGCCUGAUCCAGCAAUGCCGCGUGUGUGAAGAAGGCCUGCGGGUUGUAAAGCACUUUCAAUUGGGAAGAAAAGUGAGGUGAUAAUACCGCCUCAACUUGACGUUACCUUUAGAAGAAGCACCGGCUAACUCCGUGCCAGCAGCCGCGGUGAAUACGGAGGGUGCAAGCGUUAAUCGGAAUUACUGGGCGUAAAGCGCGCGUAGGUGGCGAAGUAAGUCAGAUGUGAAAGCCCUGGGCUCAACCUGGGAACUGCAUUUGAUACUGCUUUGCUAGAGUAUGGUAGAGGGAAGUGGAAUUCCGGGUGUAGAGGUGAAAUGCGUAGAUAUCCGGAGGAACAUCAGUGGCGAAGGCGACUUCCUGGACCAAUACUGGCGCUGAGGUGCGAAAGCGUGGGGAGCAAACAGGAUUAGAUACCCGGGUAGUC
rnacentral:rRNA from 1 species